rnacentral:ncRNA from 1 species
UAUCUUUGCAGCCUUAACGGAAAAACCGUUAUGUACAUAAAAAUCAUUUAAAUAAUAUUGGAAUG